UCCCUCCGAAGUUUCCCUCAGGA
rnacentral:snRNA from 1 species